GCGAGGAGCGCGUGCGCGUGCGCGUGCGUGUGUGCGUGCGCGCUCCCGCCCCUGCACGCGCUCUGGCUUCUUCAGGGAGCACACACGUGUGCCCGGCCUGUUGCCCGGACGGCACCUGCCUGGUGAUUGGUCUUCAUAGUUACAUUUUGCGGAAGGAAUCCCAGAAUCUGCUGUCCGGGGGCUGAGGGCCGCCACCCUGUUCUGUGCUAGGAGGGCUAUUGGAACACACAAGGACCCCGAGUGACUUGGCGGCCAGCGCAGAGUGACGUGGCAGCACCGCCUGCACGGCUGCCGUGCGGGGAGGCCCACGGCCAUCGGAGAUGGGCUGGUUGAUGACAAGGAAAACAGGCUUCCGGAGAACAUCUUGGGAUCGGGAGGACCGGAGCAGCCUGGCCGGAGACCACGUGCUGGGCCACAGCAGAGGACCGUCUGUCCAGGGCGGAGCCUGGACC